rnacentral:lncRNA from 1 species
CUUUCCUCUCUUGGCUUCUAUUUUUUUAUGUUUUUAGAUUUAUUUAUGUUAUUUUUAUUUUUUUUGUAAAGGUUUUAUUUAUUUAUUGGAGAGAAAAGCACAAGCAGGAGCAGAGGGAGAAGUAGACUCCCUGCUGAACAGGGAUUUCUCCCCCCCACUCCCCUGCCGAGUGUGGGGCUCAAUCCCAGGACCCUGAGGUCAUGACCUGAGCCCACCUAACCGACUGAGCCACCCAGGUACCCCUAGAUUUAUGUUUUCACUUUUAAGUCAUCUCUACACCCCACCUGGGACUCAAACUCACAACCCCGAAAUCAAGAGUCCUAGGCUCCAUGGACUGAGCCAGCCCGGUGCCCCUCUUGCCUUUUGUUUUUGACUGGCCUGCGAAAUGCUUCCCAAGAGCCUGCUCCCGGACUCCUUCCAUCCCCCUGGCUGCUUGUGUGCUCUUUGCAGACCAGGCGCUAACAGGGCAGUGGCGAGCCUCCAACCAAUUAACAGCUUUUCUCGGUGGCCCAGUCCCUCCCUUGUAGGUGUUGUCGCCCAAAUGCAAUCUGGUCUGACAGCCUAGAAAGAUGAGAUAAGAGGUAGGUAGUGAUCUUAAGUCAUAUUUCCUGCCUUCAAGACCCAGGAGUCUUGAAGGGGGACAAAAAGACAAAAAGAAAUGACCCAAGUCAGCUUCCUCCUAAACAGCUCCUGAUCGCGUUUACAGGGGAAGGAAAACAAAAAGGCCUUAUCUAUACGAGGCACUUGCCAGGAUACAACUGGUCUAUUUAAGUUCCUUAUGGAAAAUAUGCCGGGAAGGGACGACCUGGUGGGGCCUAACCUACGGGAAAGCGCGAGCAUCAGCUGGGUCAUUACCGGAGGGUAAAGCGAAGCUGUUUCCUGCCCCGUCUACGCACGCAGUGCCCCACGUGCAGCUCUCACCAGCGCUCACGUUCACUCUGGACCAGGGCGUGCCAGCGCGUGAUGAGGAAGGAUGUGGAGCUACCCUGGGCGGCCCACACUUCUUCGUGUCUCCAGUCUCAAAGCUCCUGGAGCUUUGGAAUGACUAGAAAAGGCCAAUCCUGGACAAGAUCUCUGACUUCUUGUGAGUUUGAUGGAAGAAUCUCAACUUUUGUGUUAUCUCAGACCACCAUGUGCCCUUGGAGCCACCAUGCUGUGAGGAAGCCCCAGUCACACGGAGAGGCUCACGCGGAGAGAAGCCAGGGUUCUGGGUCCUUCUGGGUCCUCUACUCCAGCUGAGCUCCCAGACAACAGCCCACAUCAACUUGCAGCCACAGGCAUGAGCCCUGGAAAGGGAUCUUCUAGACCCCAGUCAAGCCACCCCAGAUGAUUCUGGGUGAAGCAGACAUGAGUAUUCCCUGCUAGGCCCUGCCCACGUUGCAGAUUCAUGAGAAAAACAAGUAACUCUUUCAAACUAUUGGGUUUGGGCCUGGUUUCUUACACAGUAAUAUAUACCCUGAAUAACACCCAUGGAACUACUACCAGUUCUAGAUAAAGAAAAUUUCUGUUAACCCAGAAGUUUCCCUCAUCUACCCUCCUAGUCAACCAUCCAGUGGAAGGUAAUCACUAUUCUGACCCCUAGCACCACGUCUUAGUUUUGCCAGUCGUGAAGUUUCAUAUAAAUGGAAUCGUGAUGUAUUUUCAUGUGGCUCUUUAGCUCAAUAAGUAAUGAAAUUAAUCCACAUUGUUUCAGGAUUAAGGUUUGUUCUUUUUCAUUCAUCGUAUAACUAUACCACCAUUUAUGUACUCUACUAUUGAGAAUCACUGGCCAUUUAUGAUGAGCAAAGCUGCUAGGCACACUUCCGUAUUUUCUUUGGAUUUACAUAUGUCUUAGUUUUUGUUGGGAUUAUACCUAGGAGUUCAACAGCCAGAGCUUUUGUGGUGUGGUAGUUUUGAAACAUGUCCAUAAAUUCUCUGAUACCCCUUGGAAUCUGGAUGGACCAGAUUACAGAUUAGCAUAUGUAACUAAUGGAAUGCAGUGGAUAUGACCUUGCAUGACUUCCAGGCUAUGUCCAAAAGAGUGAUGCAGUUCUACCUGGUUUUCUUGGGACACUUGCUCUAGGAAGUAUCCAGCCAGUGUUUCUUCACAUGCUGCCCCACCUCUUUCCUGUUCCCCUUCUAAUACUGCAAUAUAUAUUAGUCCUUUCUCAUACGAUUCACAGACAUACAUUCUUUUCUAUAUUUUCUGCCCUUUUCCCUGUAUUUCAAUUUCAGCCUCUACUGACUUGUGUUCUAGUUAUAGUCAUCAUCUGCUCUGCUCUACUUGGCUAUUAAACACACAUUAUUUAGGUAUUAAUGUGUUUAUAGUAUUUUUUUUUCAGGUUAGGAGCCUCCACUUUCAUGGAUUAAAUGUUGAAAUUCUCCAUCUUUCUUCUAUUUUCCUGAUCAUAUCAAACAUGGUUGUUUUAACGUCCUUGUCCGAUAAAUCCAAUAUCCGAACCAUCC